UCCGUGAGCUCUGGUUUCCUCCCACACUCCAAAGAAGUACAGGUUUGUAGGUUAAUUGUCUUGAUAAAAUUGUAAAUUGCCCCUAGUGUGUGGAGCAUAGUGUUAGCAUAUGGGGUAAUUUUCAGUGGA